AAAGCAGAUAGAUUAUGGCAAGUGCACACCUGGCUACCAGUGCUUUCUGCACCAGGUCCUCAAGCAGGGAAUGAAGAGUCUUAGAACCAAUGGAUUCCACUCCUUUGGAUGACCUCCUGGAUGACUGGCUCCAGGCCCUGGAGCCCUCAGAAUAUGGAUGGAGAGGGAAAUAAGCAGUGCAAGUUUGUAGACUUGGUGGCUCCUGCCUCCUCCCCUCCCUGGCUCAGUGAGGACGACCCCCGCCACUGGCUCUACUUUCCAGCUGAUCACAGCUAUUUACCUGUCCCAGUCUUGAGUAAGGCACAAAAUAUUUACAGAAAACAGAUGUCUUUCAGAGGACUUGCUGCUAAGUGUAAUAGUGAAGAUUACUUGCAUUACUGCUACUUUCCAAUCAAUUAAA
rnacentral:lncRNA from 1 species